UAAUGGAAUCUUAUAUCAAAUUGUCUUUCAAUCUAAACGAUAAUAUAUCCACUAUCAUGUAUCAGUGAAGAACACUGAGCAAAUAACAAUUCUACUUUAAUUAGUCCAUAUCUGAACAAAAGAAAAGCAAGUCAAUGUUAGUUGUAUUUAUUCAACAGACUUCUACUUUUUAACAGCCAUAUUUUAAUUUUUCUUCUGGUUUGCUUAUUUCAGGGUUAAAGUGCAAAUAUAACAGGCAUAAAGCUAAAAGCUGCUGGAACCCUCACAGUUCACACAGCAUCUGUGGAAAGAGAAACAGGGUUAAUAACUCAGACCAAAGACCCAUCGUUAAAAGGGAGACCAUUUUUACACUUCCAGGCAGUUUUUUGAUUAUCUCCAGCAAUGAACAGGCAUUACCUUUGGAGUUAUUUUUCAGUGUCACAGAUAACCAGAUAGGAAUUAUUUAGCCCAGUGUCAAAACAAAUACAAUUUAGAGAAGAAAUGUCCAGUACUUUAGCUCCCUACCUGACGAAAGUUCCUAGUUCUUCAACUGGCUUGCUAAUUUCUAAUACAAGCACACGAGUUAGGAACAGGAGUAGUCAUCUAGAUCCUGCUCUACCAUUUAUGAGCUCAUUCUGUGUUGUUAGCUUUCAAAUCUCACCCAUACUUCACCAGCUCAAUGAUAAUCAGAACCACAGUUAGAGAUGGAGUCUUAUUGAAAAUUCCCUCAUGUUAAAUCAGCACAUACUAAUUUUCAACGCUUUAAUCAGUGACUGGUAGCAAUGUGUAGCAAGGAACAGCAGAUGCUGGUUUAAACCGAAGAUAGACCCAAAUUGCUUGAGUAACUCAGCGGGACAGGCAGCAUCUGUCUUGACUGUCUCGCUGAGCUAUUCCAGCAUUUUGUGUCUAUGACUGGUAGCAAUGGUUCUCCGAAGUGCAUUAAAUUAAAAUAAACUGACUUUCCAAAAAGGCCAACUGGAUCACUGCUGCUGAAAUCCACAAAUUAAACUCGCUAAAUCUGGUAGCAAAAUAAUUAUUUUAGAUUGAGUGUACAAGUGAUUUCUAUUUCGUCAUUGUUUACAAUGAAUGUUGAGUAACAAACCUGCGUCAUCAACCUUCAAUGCAUGGUCUUCCAGAAGCUGGUUCUCCCAUGGUUACCUAACAGAUUUUAUUCAAAAGCAAAAGUAACCUGUAGAUUCUAGAAAUCUGACAUAAAAGCAGAUAAUGCUGGAAAAACUUAGCAAGCCAGGCACUAUCUGUGGAAAUAAAGCAGAGUUAAUGAGUGUAGUGAAUGGUUAUUCAUCAGAAUUAGGAACAAUUAAGGGAAGGGGCAGAGGUGAACAGAGCAAAGGUUGAAGAGCACGAGAGAAUGAAUUAUGCCAAUAGCAGUGAAGGAAUGACAUCAGGAUGCGAGGUGGUGUACACAGCUCAGUCUGAAUUAAUGGUGUUGAAG